GUCAAUUCUCUGUAUCUGUGGUUUCUACUUCUGCUGAUUCAAUCAACCUCAGAUCAAAAAUAUCUGAAAAAUACAUUUUCAUAUAUACUGUACAAGUACAAAGGGGGAAAACAGUUUUUCAUCAGCAAGUAUUAUGAACGUAACAGUUACAGCUCUUUUGGCUGCAUAUGAUGGUCUUUGACUCCCCAAAAACUAACAUGCCAGAUUUUUAGGAGUUAACCGAAUUUUAAUGCUACAAAAUAAAGUAUAAAAUGAAGAUUAUGUAUGUGGACACAAGCACACAUUAGACUGGAUGAGA